rnacentral:rRNA from 1 species
UACGUAAGGUGCGAGCGUUAAUCGGAAUUACUGGGCGUAAAGUGUGCGCAGGCGGCUUCGCAAGUCGAGUGUGAAAUCCCCGAGCUUAACUUGGGAAUUGCGCUCGAAACUACGGAGCUGGAGUGUGGCAGAGGAAGGUGGAAUUCCACGUGUAGCGGUGAAAUGCGUAGAGAUGUGGAGGAACACCGAUGGCGAAGGCAGCCUUCUGGGCCAACACUGACGCUCAUGCACGAAAGCGUGGGGAGCAAACAGG